UACCAGCACCCCGAGUGGUCGGGACGUUUAUUGGGCCUAAAGCAUCCGUAGCCGGUUCUACAAGUCUUCCGUUAAAUCCAACUGCUUACAGGUGGGCUGCGGAAGAUACUAUAGAGCUAGGAGGCGGGAGAGGGCAAAGCGGUACUCGAUGGGGUAGGGGGUAAAAAUCCGUUUGAUCCAUUUGAAGACCCACCGUGGCGAAAGGCGGCUUCCCAGAACGCGGCUCGACGUGAGGG
rnacentral:rRNA from 1 species